AUAGCUCAAUUAAACCCAUCUCUACGUUCUUCUUAAAAACAAGAGUUAACCAAGCAGAUCAUCUUCAACCUUGGAACGGAUACACAAGACCAGAGGACCCUUCACCUUAAUCACCUUUAGAGCGCCGCUGGCCAGUCUUCCACCAAGGAGCAACAGAGCUCACCAUCAGCCAUUCUCAAAAAACUUCAGCAGCCUAACGACCCCCCCC
rnacentral:lncRNA from 1 species